GAUGAACGCUGGCGGCGUGCUUAACACAUGCAAGUCGAACGGAAAGGCUCCUGCUUGCAGGGGCACUCGAGUGGCGAACGGGUGAGUAACACGUGGGUGAUCUGCCCUGCACUUCGGGAUAAGCCUGGGAAACUGGGUCUAAUACCGGAUAGGACAUCGUUUAGUGUCGGUGGUGGAAAGUUUUUUCGGUGUGGGAUGAGCUCGCGGCCUAUCAGCUUGUUGGUGGGGUAAUGGCCUACCAAGGCGUCGACGGGUAGCCGGCCUGAGAGGGUGUACGGCCACAUUGGGACUGAGAUACGGCCCAGACUCCUACGGGAGGCAGCAGUGGGGAAUAUUGCACAAUGGGCGCAAGCCUGAUGCAGCGACGCCGCGUGGGGGAUGACGGCCUUCGGGUUGUAAACUCCUUUCGCCAGGGACGAAGCGAAAGUGACGGUACCUGGAGAAGAAGCACCGGCUAACUACGUG
rnacentral:rRNA from 1 species